CCACUGCACCACAGCACUGGCCCCCAGUGAUUUGUUUUGCUCCAAAUUUUAUGCCCCUAACUUAUGAUGUAUUUGCAAAUUAGAUUGCCAAUUUGAUUUGGGGUGCAAAUAAAGCGAGGAUGAAUCGAUCCCCAGGGAGGGUUUCAGAGGGUCCCCCUCUGAAAAGAUGCAUGCAUCUUUGGGCACUGCCUUUGGGAUUUGAAUCACAUGCACUGGAGUUCCACAUCAAGCUGCUGGUAGGUGAGAACAUUUGAUGCAACCAAGACUGUCUUCAAAAGUGUCCCAGCACAGGGCUUGGCUUCAAGUGUGAGUGUCACUGGUUGGCAGACACUUUGAGAAUUCAAGCCUGAUCAGCAAAAGAAAACAAAAACAAAAACAUUCACAAAAGCAACAACAAAAGUCAACUUCCUGCCCAACAGCCACAGGAUUUCUUAAAUGUUGAAGUCUUGUGAAUUGAGAGUAACUAAGAACCAUUGGCUUCAACAUACAGACAUAUUUAAAGCAAAAGAAAAUAUGGGGUGGGGGCAUGGGAGAAAGCCCUGUCAGUAGCUUUGAGCUGCCUCAUUUUUUUUUAGUGGAAAAAUUGUUACAAAUGGUUUCUUCAGCAUAUGUUAUUAAUUUCAUUAUCCUGGCUUCUUGCCAGCUAAGCAUCAAGCACUGAUUUUUGUGAUUUCAGUUGCAACUAGUAAAACUCAUGUGGGCAUUAACAGAAACAGACAAGAGAACGUUUUUUCAAAUCAACUCCAAGUGACUAUUUUAAAGGCUUUUAUUUCAUAAAGCUAGUUGGAACAUUUGUUUUUAUUGAUGAGAAGAAUUAUGCUUUUGUAAAAUGUGGUAUUCCCAGUAUAUACAGCCUUAUUUUAAGGACUUUAAAUAAAUUAUUGAUGCUGAUAGAUACAAAAAAAUUACAUGUUUUAAAAUGUCCAAAACUUAUAAUUUCUCAUAAAAGAUUUACUUUUAAUUUUUUACUUCAAUAAAUUAUCAAUUCCCAACUUGACUCUCACUGGGAUUAAACAUGACAAUAGGUCUGAUCUGAUUUCAUCAUCAUUUAAAAAAUCAUCUAUUAUUUUUCACUUUAUGUUUCUGUGUGGAGCAAGCUGUUGAAAUCUUUUAUUUAAUGUAUGCUAAACUGAUCUUUAGAUAAGAGAUCGAAAAUGAAAAAAA
rnacentral:lncRNA from 1 species